rnacentral:rRNA from 1 species
CCUACGGGAGGCAGCAGUGGGGAAUUUUGGACAAUGGGCGAAAGCCUGAUCCAGCAAUGCCGCGUGAGUGAAGAAGGCCUUCGGGUUGUAAAGCUCUUUUGUCAGGGAAGAAACGGUGAGAGCUAAUAUCUCUUGCUAAUGACGGUACCUGAAGAAUAAGCACCGGCUAACUACGUGCCAGCAGCCGCGGUAAUACGUAGGGUGCAAGCGUUAAUCGGAAUUACUGGGCGUAAAGCGUGCGCAGGCGGUUUUGUAAGUCUGAUGUGAAAUCCCCGGGCUCAACCUGGGAAUUGCAUUGGAGACUGCAAGGCUAGAAUCUGGCAGAGGGGGGUAGAAUUCCACGUGUAGCAGUGAAAUGCGUAGAUAUGUGGAGGAACACCGAUGGCGAAGGCAGCCCCCUGGGUCAAGAUUGACGCUCAUGCACGAAAGCGUGGGGAGCAAACNGGAUUAGAUACCCUGGUAGUCCACGCCCUAAACGAUGUCUACUAGUUGUCGGUCUUAAUUGACUUGGUAACGCAGCUAACGCGUAGAAGUAGACCGCCGCGGGAGGUACGGUACGCGAGAAGUAAACGUAACGAACGAAGUUAGUACGGCGUAGAGACGAGCGACGGACGACGACGAGGGAGGAGG